GGGGGGGGGGGGGGUUGUUCAGCUACUAGAUCUGUUGAAAUGGGAUUUUACUAAACGAAUCAUCGAGGUGUAUUAGAAUGAACAUAUUUUGUAUGGGAUUACAUUGAGACUGUUGCAUUUUCAGCAAACUGUUUUUGUUGUUGUAAUGUUGAUUUGAUCUCUAGACAGUGACACCUUCCCCAGGGCUGGCUACGCGUGCAGCAGAAAUGGGCUGUUCCUCUUCUUUUUCUUCUCAUUAUCUCACCAUUGAAACGGUGUUUCCAGCUCAUUUACCUUUUAGUAUGGUUAUGUGCACUCCCCUGCGGAUUUAUUUGGACGUUGAAGCUAAAAUGUUUCAUUUGGCUCUAUACUCCAUUUUGGAUUUGAGAGCAAAUGUGUUAUGAGGCGACAGUACAGAAUGUCACCUUUUAUUUGGGUGUAUUUUCAUACAUCUGUUUUGAGGUUUAAGAAAUGAAUGCUCUUUAUGUACAAUAUCUAGUCCCCUUCCCAUUUGAAGGUGGAUAAGUAUUUGGACAAAUUCACUUGUAGUGUAUUAAAUUGAGUCGAAAACGUUUAGUAUUUGGUCUCAUAUUCAUACAGUAGCACGCAAUGACUAUAUCAAGCUUGUGACUACACACUUGUUGGAUGCAUUUGCAAUUGGUUUUGGUUGUGUUUCGGAUUAUGUUGUGCCCAGUAGAAAUGAAUGGUAAAUAAUGUGUUGUCACUUUCAUUGUAAAUAUGAGUAGAAGGUUAGCAUUUUUGGGGGGUAUGACAUGUAUGCCUUUAACUUUCUCACUCAUCAUUAUUCACGAUUCAUUCAUGAUUGUCCGUAAACAUGGUAGGAUCCAAGUGUUGAGAUAAUAUUAUAUUUCGAAUUACAAUAAACGUGACUCCAAAAUGACAGAAUACAUUAUUUAGCAUCCGUUUCUAGUGGGCAGAACAUAAUCCGAAACACAACCAAAACAAACUGCAAAUGCAUCCAGCAAGUUUGUAGAGUCGCAGGCUUGAUGUAAACAUUGCAUGCUAGGAAUAUGGGACCAAAUCCAAAAUGAUUGACUACAUGUAAUGCACUAAGUGAAUUGUCCAAAUGCUUAUGACUCCUUUAAAUGGGGGGACUAGAUGCAUAAAUUGCAUUCAUUUCUAAACAGUUAAACGUAUGAAAAUACCCUCAAAUAAAAGGUGGCAUUCUAUACUGUAGUGUGAUAUAAACAUUUGAUCUCAAAUCCAAAAUGCUGGAGUAUAAAGACAAAUUAGAAGUUUUGCCUUCCCUGUCCAAAUCAAUAUCUAUGGGAAUGUGUUGUUUAUUAUGUAUCAAUGCCAAAGGUAUGUGUUUUACAGGAGUCUGAGGGACAUUUUACAAGGUAAACAUUGCCUUAUAACGAACAGACUAGUAGUCCAUACCAAAACCAAAGCUUACUGUACCUCUCAGGUCUCCGUAGGUGAUUUGAGCAGGGCUCCCUACUGUGCCAGUGAUUAGUGACUUUCUGGAUGUGAUUGGGAGUAUUCUUUUUAGCUGGUGAGCUAGAUUUCACAAAGAAAUGGUAGAAAAUGUGCAAACUCUGCCUACUCGUUACCCCGGGCAAACUAAAUGAAUGCAGCCAUUGUGAGCGAUUCUCUGUGAAGGAGAAGGACCUGCUUUUUAACCACUGUUGUAAAUAUGUUUUUUUUGUUGUGCUUUUUUUCCCCAAGAUGCACGAACCAAGAUUGAGCUCUUUUAAUACAAGUAUGUUGGUGGUGUGGAUGAAAAUAUUGAGAGUUUGUCAAUGGUUGACCUUGGAAAUGGAGGGAAAUGGAUUACCUGGACUAUUUCAACGAUGAUCACAGAGCACCUCCAAGAUGGGACAGAAGGGCAGUUAACCCACUGAAUGAUUUUGAUCAAAUCAAUUUCUGUGACCAUUUCCAUAUGUACAAAGAAAAUGCAGCUGAUAUUUGUUUACUUGAGCAAGACUUUCAUCUGACUCUUUGGGGAAGGCCCUUCCCUACAAGUACUGACCACCAUGAGGUUUUUGGCAUCUGGAACCUUCCAUCGUGAAACAGGACAUUUGUGUUGUGUAAGUGAACCAACUAUUCAGAAUAGCCCACAAAGUCUGCAAUGCUACAGUGUAUGUGAACUGAAAGACAGUUACAUCAAGUUCCCCGAUACUGCUGCCCAAGCCAACUACAAGGUAGAGUCCUAUAAAUAUUGGCUGUAAAGAUGGAUGUCAUUUUCCCAUCAAGUGUCCCUCUACAGCAGAUUCUGAGGUGUACAGGAAUCUUAAAAACUGGUUUUCAAUAACAUGUACAAAGUGUGUGCACUCCCAAUUUGAAGUUCUCCAACGUUGUUGCACGUUGGAAAGGUGCAACGCAUGACUCAAGGAUUUUCCAAAACUCCUCUGUAAGCUCAGUUUGAAGGAGGACAACAUACAGUAGUGGAAUCAUACUUGGUGACAGUGGGUGUGCACAGACCAACUUGUUCACCCCCUAUCUUCAUCCAAUAGAACCUGAGCAAUAACCGUACAACCAAACUCAUAUCUACACCAGAGGUGUAGUGGAGCGCAUGUUUGGCGUAUGGAAGAGUCGUUUCUAGUGUCUCAGCAACACAUUGCGCUUUCAACCUAGAAGAUGCUGCAUUACCUUAAUUGCAACAGCUUCACAAUUACCUCAAACCGCAUGGCUUUCCAGAUCAUUGCAUCGAAGAUGAGGAUGAUGCAGAUGUUCCCAUGGAAAAGCCAGCAGAAAUGGAUAAGCCUGCAGAGAUGCUUUUGCUGUUCAGCACUUCUCACAAAGAUGGCUCAGGUGAUUGAAACAAACAAUAGCCAUGGAUUGAAAACAAACCAAAAGAAAUUCACAAAUGGAAAUAUCGGGACCCCGAACUGGUGCUGUUUGGAGAAGAACAUUGGUACUGCUGCUGCUUCAUGUUUCUCUCCUCCAUAGUCAACUCAACAUGAAGGAUUUGCGUCUUCAUAUCGUGCUCUUUUAAAUACGUUGGUCUGAGCUCAUUACAUUCCGUGGCCAGUUUCUCAUGCAUGCUCAGCCUCUUUUUCUUUGCCCUCCGGCCCGGGUUAGUGACACGAUCCUCUGUCCUAGCUGCUGCAGAUGUAGUUGGCUGACCAUCCUGUUAUGACAAGUCCCAUCCAAGCUACGGUGGUCAUCUGCCUUUAGAAAAUGAUUACAUUGCUGCAUUGGAGAACAUUAUUUCUUCAAGAGUUAAGUUCAUUACAACAUUUUUAGUAUGGGAGUGCAAGAGAUGUCUGACAACAUUACAUAUUCCUGGGAUGGCACGUGUUGAAUGAAUGUGUCCUACCAAAUGAGGAUUGGAACAUAUGGUCAUCAUCAGGAAUACCUUCCAGGGGCUACUGGCUAUCAAUGAUCCCGGUCAACAAGUCUUUCAGCUCAUGUUUGGUCUUACCAGUCUUGAAACGCUCCCUACAAGCAACAGCAUUUGAUUUUUAUGUUUUUCCACAGGACCUUUAGAAAGACGACAAUAUAGAAAUUAUAUUAGUAUGUAUGAUAUUGUUUGUGUUACAUUUCUGUCCAAAAAUACAUUUAGGUUGUUACACACAAACUAACAUUUCAAAGUGACUCUGAUUUGUAAAAGUGAGUCAACAAUUAACACAGUAUCUUACCUGAAGUUGUUUUGUACUUUACUUUUCAUUUGAGUAGAAUUCAUUACAAAUGGUGGUCUUGUUUUUCUUUCCUUGUGUUCUGUUGAUGAAUCAUGCUGUUUGCUCUCGAUAAUUGGGUGGUUUGACACAAUUUGCUUCAAGAGGGUUUUUUCAAAGUUACUGAAAUUCUUUGAAACUUCCAUUCUUUUGUUUAAGUGACUUGCUGCAAUUCCACACGAUGCUUAUGUAUUAGUGUCCUAUCCCUGGUUUUUGAAACAUCCUAAUGUCAGCAGAAAGUCUACAUCGUUAAUCUAAUCAGGCUUCACAAAGAUGAACCGGUUAGUCCUUACUUACCUUGGUCUGGUACUCUACUGUAGUUAGAAACUAAGAAAUACUUUUUUUAAAUCUGGAUUAAUUUAAGUAGAAUUAGCCUAGUCCUGAUUUAAAUUAAACUCUGUCCGCAAAACCGCUCCUAUAAAUACUUUAUAAAUGUUUCGAGUGACCAGUGUAAUUUCUCACAAAAAGAUGGACAUGUCAUUCUACCAGCAAUACCUGAUGCUCCUUAAGGUCUCAAAAUAGCCUAGAACAUUUCAAUGGUAAAAGAAUAAGCACACAACACAAGAUGGUAAUUAUGAAUAAACUAUUUACUAAUCCAUUCUCAAACCUUUAUUAUACAAUUUCUUUUAUUAUAUCUGCCCCAUGGCAAAAUGUGUAGAAUUACAGGAAAUAGCUUUAAAUGAGCACAUUUUUCACUCAACCUCAAGGCAAAAUGUGUGAAAUAGCAUUAGAUUAGCUAUAAAACUUCACAUUUUUCUCUGUACUGUGGCAAAUGUGUAGAAUUGCAGGAAGUUACUGGAGGUACCCCAAGCCUCAGAUGUGGUAGUCCGGCCCUGUCACCGGGGGGUGUGUGGUACAGGGUCUACACCCUGCGCUACCACAGGACCAGGGAUGGGGGUAGGGCCACAAUACAUCUGAACUCAUCAUGAGGGGGCCGCAGUUGGUCUCGGGCCUCGCUGCCAGUAACUCCACCAUGACUACUGUUUCGAUAUCUGGCCGCUAGAUUAAUUUACCAAUUAAAAAAAAAUGGUAGCUGACAUGGGCUACCACAUAACAAGAGAAAAACUGCUGAUGCACUACCACAUGUAAAAAGUAUUUGACUAUUCUAACUCGCAACAGUUGCCCGUCCCUGCACUAGACCAUUGAAAUCAAUGCUGUAUACCUGCAUACUAUAUUGUGUCAUAUGUCAAGGUUCUUUGACCUGCAUAGGCGUUAAACAGAGAGAGAGGGAGUAUGAUCUUUGGCUGCUGGUAGUAACUAUGGCUGCCAAUCCUGCAUUUCAGCUGUGCUGUAUAACCUGCAUUUGUGAUUGAUUGUGUCCUGCUGGCACGCCCUGACCUUAGAGAGACGUUUUAUUUCUCUAUUUGGUUAGGUCAGGGUGGGCAUUCUAUGUUUUGUGUUUCUAUGUAUUGGCCGGGUAUGGUUCUCAAUUAGGGACAGCUGUCUAUCGUUGUCUCUGAUUAGGAAUCAUACUUAGGCAGCCUGUUUUGCCACCUUAGGUUGUGGGAUGUUGUUUUUUGUUAGCUCUGAGAAGCCUUCAGAAUGUGACGUUCGGUAUUCUUUUGUUGUUUUGUUUGGUGUUCUGUGUAAAUAAAGUAUCAUGAAAACAUA